rnacentral:rRNA from 1 species
CCCUUAGAUGUUCUGGGCCGCACGCGCGCUACACUGAUGCAUUCAACGAGUCUAAAACCUGCUCUGAUAGGGGUGGGUAAUCUUUUGAAUGUGCAUCGUGAUUGGGAUAGAUGAUUGCAAUUUUUCAUCUUCAACGAGGAAUGCCUAGUAAACGCAAGUCAUCAGCUUGCAUUGAUUACGUCCCUGCCCUUUGUACACACCGCCCGUCGCUCCUACCGAUUGAAUGAUCCGAUGAAUAUCAUGGAUUGAGGAUGUAAGCAGGUUCGCCUGUCUUCAUCUUCGAGAAGUGAAGUAAAUCUUAUCAUUUAGAGGAAGGAGAAGUCGUAACA